GGUUGUGUAGUGUAGAGGUGAUCACUCUGGAUUUUGAAGCACUAGCUUUGCCUUCCGGCAACCCCGGUUCGAACCCGGGCACGACCU